AUUGAACGCUGGCGGCAGGCCUAACACAUGCAAGUCGAACGGUAACAGGAAACAGCUUGCUGUUUCGCUGACGAGUGGCGGACGGGUGAGUAAUGUCUGGGAAACUGCCUGAUGGAGGGGGAUAACUACUGGAAACGGUAGCUAAUACCGCAUAACGUCGCAAGACCAAAGAGGGGGACCUUCGGGCCUCUUGCCAUCGGAUGUGCCCAGAUGGGAUUAGCUUGUUGGUGGGGUAACGGCCCACCAAGGCGACGAUCCCUAGCUGGUCUGAGAGGAUGACCAGCCACACUGGAACUGAGACACGGUCCAGACUCCUACGGGAGGCAGCAGUGGGGAAUAUUGCACAAUGGGCGCAAGCCUGAUGCAGCCAUGCCGCGUGUAUGAAGAAGGCCUUCGGGUUGUAAAGUACUUUCAGCGGGGAGGAAGGGAGUAAAGUUAAUACCUUUGCUCAUUGACGUUACCCGCAGAAGAAGCACCGGCUAACUCCGUGCCAGCAGCCGCGGUAAUACGGAGGGUGCAAGCGUUAAUCGGAAUUACUGGGCGUAAAGCGCACGCAGGCGGUUUGUUAAGUCAGAUGUGAAAUCCCCGGGCUCAACCUGGGAACUGCAUCUGAUACUGGCAAGCUUGAGUCUCGUAGAGGGGGGUAGAAUUCCAGGUGUAGCGGUGAAAUGCGUAGAGAUCUGGAGGAAUACCGGUGGCG
rnacentral:rRNA from 1 species